AGAAUCAAAUUCAAUUGGAACCUUUUAUCAUCGUGAAUUGUACGUCAAUUCAGCAAAAUUUACAACUGAAUAAUGUAACUGAUUUCAAGGUUAAUCUAAAAGUGGUGAAAUACAAUUUGAGCAAUUUGUACGAUUUUUUAUUGUACACCCUUCAAACUAAACGGUGACACGGAUUUCCUAAUAUCAAUCAGUGCCAAGUAUACACAUAAAAGUAAUCCAUUGUUUUCAUCUAGAAUGUAUCCAUCGAUCUUAUCAAGCAUUAUCGAAGCCAUAAUUCAGGGCCAACCAGCAUUAGACUCACUCAUACCUGUGCAAGUGAGUCUCACUUCACUCAACUUCACUCAUUUCCACCUCGAACCAAAUUGCCCUUCACUCCCCUCACUCGCGUGAUGGAAGGCUGAGUGAGGCUUCACUCACUGAUAAAUCUCAUUCUCACUCCUUCAUUCCCUUCACUCCCUCAUUCCUCACACGUCACUCAUUCCCCUCGCUCAUCCAUUUCCUUCACUCUUUCUGUCACUCAAUUCAGUCCCUCGUGUCAUCAUAAUUAAAAUAUUUUGGCACCAUCUAGUGGGGUAACGUGAGACUGGACUGGGGCAAUGUGAGAUUCGACUGGGGUACUGUGAGACUGGGUUGGGGCAACGUGAGAUUAGACUGGGGCACGGUGAAAAUUGCAUGGGGUAAUAUGAGACGGUACUAUGUUAAUAUUGCAACGCUUAUUUGAGUAUGUAAACUAACCCAAGCAACCUCAAUGCGAAUUUACUGCGAAUCCCAAUGCAAGUUUAUGCAAUUUUUGUGCAUAAAAAGUUGUAAUCAUUAAUUUGUACAAGAUUCGUGCAAAAUUUGUAUCAAUUUUUGUGCUGCUAAUAUAUUAGCACAAGAAAUCCACGAAACUAUCACAAAUUAAUUAGUAGCAAAUUAUUACAAAGGAACAAGUGAAUAUUUAGUGCGUAUUUGUUAGCACUAAAUUUUCAUGAGAUUUCUUGCACCAAAUAAUUCAUGCAUAAUUCGUACCUGGGAAAUUGUACAAACUCAAAAUGCAGUAAACAGGUGCCAGCAUAUUCACACAAAAUUUGUACCGAUUAUUCUGCAAUAAUUUAGUACUAAAUUAGUAUCAUUUCUCUAUUCGCGAUUAAAUAAACAAACCUCAAGUCAGUUAUUCUUUUUGCCAUGCCGUGACAUCAACUCCAUCAUCUCUUCUCCAUUUUUAAUUUCCAACCAAAAAAUUUCGACAGUUAUGGUCGAAAAUCAAAUUCCUAUUUCGGAUAAAAGUUCCUCGAUUCCUCGAGUUUGAAGGCGACAAAUGAGUGGAGAUUGUGCCGUCUACGUGGAUUUCAAAAGAUUGGACGACUCAUGGCAUGUGAUAUGUCGAAAAAUACGAUUCAUACGUUGGGAACACAUACAAGGAAUAAACCUAUCGACUCAUGUGAUAACGGCAAACGGGAUCGCCCUAAAUUAUCAGAAAAAGAGCCUGAGGUGAAUAAUGAGGCAUUUCUCAGGAAUUCAUUUUAAUUUAGUCUUUCUCUAUACGCCGUAAGUAAGUAUUCUACCGAUUAAUUUCGAUAAAUAUUUGUGUAUCCCAAUUUGCAAUUAUCUGUUAAUUAGUUAAGUAUUUGGAGAUACCUAACAUUAUUGUAGAAAUAUGUACGA